rnacentral:rRNA from 1 species
UACGUAGGGUGCGAGCGUUGUCCGGAAUUAUUGGGCGUAAAGAGCUCGUAGGCGGUUUGUCGCGUCGGCCGUGAAAUCUCCACGCUUAACGUGGAGCGUGCGGUCGAUACGGGCAGACUUGAGUUCGGUAGGGGAGACUGGAAUUCCUGGUGUAGCGGUGAAAUGCGCAGAGUAUCAGGAGGAACACCGGUGGCGAAGGCGGGUCUCUGGGCCGAUACUGACGCUGAGGAGCGAAAGCGUGGGGAGCGAACAGG